AAUAAGUGCAGUUUUGCACUAUUUACGUUCAAUGUUUGACUGUUCGUUUUAUUUGAAAAAAAAUUAUGAUUAGUAUUUGUAUUGCUAUUAGAUGAUAAAACAUGAAUAGUACUCUAUGUGUGACUAAAUAUCUUUAAAUUUUUUAAAUAAGACGGACGGUCAAACGUUGGGCACGGAUAUUCACGGCUGCACUUAUU
rnacentral:pre_miRNA from 1 species